UCUGGAGCAUCUAUUGCAUUCUACAAAUGCAAAGGGCGGUAAGGGACCUCAGGAUAACUCAGACUGCCCUUCUUUCCUAGAAAUAACGGCCACAGUGAUAUUCACUGUAAAGAGAAUUCUUCAGGGUGGAGAACUGCAUCUCUAUGUCACCAUCAACUCCUUCCCGAGGCCAGCAUUGAUCUAUAUCUGCAUCAGAACCAGACCUGGGUUCAUAGGUCAGAACCCACCUCCACAACCGCAACCGCAUGGCAAAAGAAAGCAAGAGAAGUCCCAGGUCUGCUCCUCCUGCUGAACUUCCUAACUCUGGAGAAACUCCAGGCUGAGAAGCUCGGCCAUCAAAUAGUAGCAUGAUGAAUGCCCACAACGGAGGGAAAUGCUAGAAACCUUGGAGGAUUCAUGUGCUCCUUAUAUGGCAAGCUUUUCUCCAUGAUUCCGGUGCAGGACCUGGGGCUCACAAAAGUCAUGGAGCAGUGUCUGCCGUGGGAUUCUGCAUUCCGUUCGGGUGGAACAGAAACCUACUGUUGAAGACCCAUGACAACCAAGCAAGUCCCGUGCAAGGACACGGCUGAGAUCAGUGUGGGGCUUGGAGUUAGCAGGCUCAGAUCUGACGGAGGAUGGUGUGAACACUGUGGUAGUUCUGGCACUGUGCACUUAGUGACACUGCCCUGCCGGAGGAGCAGCACAUGUGAACGUUGUGGAUCACAACCUCAGAAGAGUGGUCGAAGAGAGUUCAUAGACAUCCACAUUCCUGCCAGUCUCUCUAAGCUAAAGUUCAUUUAAAGAGACAGAAACAAACGUGUCUCUCUAUAAAAGGGUCUUGCCUUGUCUGUUCAGGCGGCCCCACCCAUAGACAACAGACAGGCAGAGCUUCAUUCCCUAUUCGCAGAAGAAGGACCAGCCCAAGUGCAGGGCAAUUGACAACCUGGACUGAUCAAUGCUCUGCAGGGUAAGGUGAUCAUGUUCAUCAACUCCAGUCAAUUCUCUGGACUGUCCCUACUUCAGGAAUCAGGCACAUCAUGAAAACAAGCUAGA
rnacentral:lncRNA from 1 species